AUUGAACGCUGGCGGCAGGCCUAACACAUGCAAGUCGAGCGAGCGGCGGACGGGUGAGUAAUGUCUGGGAAACUGCCUGAUGGAGGGGGAUAACUACUGGAAACGGUAGCUAAUACCGCAUACCAUCAGAUGUGCCCAGAUGGGAUUAGCUAGUAGGUGGGGUAACGGCUCAACUGGGAGACGAUCCCUAGCUGGUCUGAGAGGAUAACCCGCACAUCUGGAACUGAGACACGGUCCAAACUCUGACGGGGGGCGGAAUUGGGGAAUAUUGCACAAUGGGCGCAAGCCUGAUGCAGAAAUGCGGCGUGUGUGAAAAGGGCCUUCGGGUUGUAAGGCAUGUUCAGCGGGGAGGCGUUACCCGCAGAGGAAGCACCGGCUAACUCCGUGCCAGCAGCCGCGGUAAUUC
rnacentral:rRNA from 1 species